rnacentral:rRNA from 1 species
GAGUCAAAUGCUUGCUCUCAUAAGGACAAGGCGUGAUGAGGAGCGAAAUUAAAGUAGCGAAGGCUGCGACGUCACACUGCCGAGAAAAGCUUCUAGCCAGAGACGGUGCACCCGUACCGCAAACCGACACAGGUAGUCGAGGAGAGUAUCCUCAGGUGAGCGAGAGAACUCUCGUUAAGGAACUCGGCAAAAUGGCCCCGUAACUUCGGGAGAAGGGGCGCUGGUCGCAAGAUCAGCCGCAGUGAAAAGGCCCAAGCAACUGUUUAUCAAAAACACAGGCAUCUGCAAAAUCGUAAGAUGAAGUAUAGGUGCUGACACCUGCCCGGUGCUGGAAGGUUAAGAGGAGAGCUUAGCGCAAGCGAAGGUUUGAAUUGAAGCCCCAGUAAACGGCGGCCGUAACUAUAACGGUCCUAAGGUAGCGAAAUUCCUUGUCGGGUAAGUUCCGACCUGCACGAAAGGUGUAAUGAUUUGGGCACUGUCUCAACGAGAGACUCGGUGAAAUUAUAAUACCCGUGAAGAUGCGGGUUACCCGCGACAGGACGGAAAGACCCCAUGGAGCUUUACUGCAGUUUAAUAUUGGGUAUCUGUCAAGCAUGUACAGGAUAGGUAGGAGCCGGAGAAGAUAGGACGCCAGUCUUAUCUGAGGCGCUGUUGGGAUACUACCCUUGCUUGACGGAUGCUCUAACUCAGG